GACGAACGCUGGCGGCGUGCUUAACACAUGCAAGUCGAACGGAAAGGCCCUGCUUUUGUGGGGUGCUCGAGUGGCGAACGGGUGAGUAACACGUGAGUAACCUGCCCUUGACUUUGGGAUAACUUCAGGAAACUGGGGCUAAUACCGGAUAGGAGCUCCUGCUGCAUGGUGGGGGUUGGAAAGUUUCGGCGGUUGGGGAUGGACUCGCGGCUUAUCAGCUUGUUGGGGGGGUAGUGGCUUACCAAGGCUUUGACGGGUAGCCGGCCUGUGAGGGUGACCGGCCACAUUGGGACUGAGAUACGGCCCAGACUCCUACGGGAGGCAGCAGUGGGGAAUAUUGCACAAUGGGCGGAAGCCUGAUGCAGCAACGCCGCGUGCGGGAUGACGGCCUUCGGGUUGUAAACCGCUUUCGCCUGUGACGAAGCGUGAGUGACGGUAAUGGGUAAAGAAGCACCGGCUAACUACGUG
rnacentral:rRNA from 1 species